rnacentral:rRNA from 1 species
UACAGAGGUCUCAAGCGUUGUUCGGAAUCACUGGGCGUAAAGGGCGUGUAGGCGGUCCGCUAAGUCUGAUGUGAAAGCCCGGGGCUCACCCCCGGAAGUGCAUUGGAAACUGGCGGACUCGAGUCCCGGAGAGGAGAGUGGAAUUCCUGGUGUAGCGGUGAAAUGCGUAGAUAUCGAGAGGAACACCGGUGGCGAAGGCGGCCUUCUGGACAGUGACUGACGCUGAGACGCGAAAGCGUGGGGAGCAAACAGG